ACUACGCCUAACCAAGCCGUCAUCAGCUGCUAUCGUUGUGAGGUGUAGUCAUAUAAUCAGAACAGCAGUUCUUCAGACGUCCACAAUGCAGUCGUCGACAGCGACUUUGUCUUUCGACGAUUGCUCGACGUCAUCGAUGGAAAUGAUUACUGCUUCAGAAGGGGUUACAGCGACGGCAUCAACAGCAAUCUCGGCCCCACAAGAAGGUGCCAGCGCCAGAGUGGGUUCUUCAUGUGGGCAGCCGGCGUCAACGUACAUCACGGCAUUGAAUGGCGAGGGGAGCCGCCUAUAUUUAAAGAUCGUCCAGGUCCCGUGCUGUCGACGUUUAAGCACAGAAAAGAUACGAGCCGUACCGGUACCACCACCCGUUUUAAGAGAUCAAGGAAGAGGAAGCCUGCAUGCAGUCACGUUACCAGCUGAUUAGAGCUCUUUCGAAUAUCCUUAUUCGACACCACGUGCAAGUUUUCAUUCGAAGAAACGAAAGCUCGCCGGUUAAUCUAAGCGACAAAAAGUAGCGGUUGGGUAGAAAUUAGACAUUAGACAUUAUUUAUUUCAUCAUAAAUUUGUACAUCAACAUCAGCAAACAACUGUCAAUUGAUUGAUGUCAACUGUCAAACCAUUGAUGUUACGUGUAAUGUUUGGCCAGAGACAUUCUCAAAUAAACAACGCAAAACAACUGCGUUGUUACGAGCUCCACUCUAGCACAUCGAAAUUGAUGGGACUUUCACUCGUGGCACGCGAUCGCAACUGCUACAAAAAAAUUUACACGUGAUGGAACGUGUUGCCUUCUCUUGAAGCGUCGCUUCCACUUUACCGAUGUACAAGCGGGGCCAAAAUAAUGCGGGUUCUGCGAGCGCGUGCCAAUGACGUGUGGGCGCCAGUGACCGGUGACAACGCAUUGCACACUGUGCCACCCGGAAAGAAAGCACCUUCCUGCCGCGAUAAUAUGCUAUCUCCACGAUUCCGACAGCACGCUGGAGAAGGCUGGGUGUAUGGAAGAGAGCGUGAAAACAAAACGCACAUGCGCAAUGGCAUGUCCGGACAAAAAAGUGCUCGCUUCGCUAAAGGGCGCAGGAGUGCAGUUCGGGACGCGCUCACAGAUUCCAUGUUAUUUCGCACGCGAUGGUAUGUUCGUGAACUUGAGCAGCAGUGAGAAAGUCGCGGCGAACGUAGAGUGGAAAGUGGAGAAUUUCUCGAGUUCCAGUUUUAACGUGCAACGCCACCCAGCCGCUCCGUCGCAAGGGUUAGAAUAGCAAACCCGUGAGCUAUAGUCGACGACGUGUUUAAGAGAAUAAAAAAAACUGAAGCUUUCGCGAAUAACAUCGCAGGCUGUUCCGUGCGAGUGUUACGAUAACCACUUGUCACAGCCAAGAGACCCAGGUGGAGCCACUGCGCCACCUUGAAAGAAUACACAGGCACAUGAUGAACGAGAACUUUAUUUUGUAGCAUAGAGAAAACGAAUUAUAGAAGAAUCCACUUAGACGCCGAGGCAUGCACUACGAACGAAUUUCGUAGCAGAUGCAUGCAGUAUUUGCGCGGUUAAAGCAUUAAGAAAUUGGUUGAUCCCUACGCUAGGUUUCAGCUAUUUUUUCCGAGAAAGCAGUGAGCCUGCACGGGAAAGGCAAACCACUUUCGAGGUCAUGCAGCAGGUAACGCCAUUUUUUUUGACCUUGUUACGCAUUUCAAAGAUAACGAAAUGCUGGGAUCAUAAACAGGGCAAAUGAAUGACUCGGUUAAGUGAGCUCCACAUUCGCGUAUAUGCUGCCACCAUCCACAAAUCCAUUGAAUUCAACAUCUUCCCAGGAAACUGUUUCGGUAGUGUCCCCUUCAUUCCAAGUGCCAGGCGCCGGCUUCUUUACCAUCUUGUUAUGAGGCAGACACACUGGUAGCGGGAUGUCCCUCUCGGAAUCAGUGGGAUGGGUGAGGAAUACUGUUACUUCUCUGUCGAACGGCCAAGACAAGCGGCCGUCCCAUUUGCCCUCGCCGAGCGAAAACUUAAAGCACACAGUAGAUUCCCCGUGCUCAUUCUUAUGGAGAACGCAUUCGAGCCGGAAGAAGUAACCACCCAGCACGGAUGGAGGAUGCGUUAUGCUGUCAGUUUUGUCGUUGUCCAACGAUUCCAGUUUUCCUUGGACGUCGAAGGAGCACAGAGUGACGUGAACGCUUGGCCUGGAAGCGGCACGGUAAGGUGUCGCAGAGAACAGUGACCGUUCCGCGGCUGAGGGCAACAUUCGCUUUUGGCUGCUGCCCACCGGAUCUUCUUCGCCUUUUGUGCAGUCGCGUUCAAGAACGGUGAUCUUUUUCACUAGCGAGUUGAUGGACUUGGUCACAUAGUCCUUGUCAAGGACGUCGCCGGGCGCCCGCUGUAUCAAUGUCUCGAGACCCUUUCUGAUAUCUCGUACUACUCGAAUGACGCCACUGCGUGCCUCGGCUGUACUCGCCUCCUGUCCUGGAGCAGCGGCUCCCGAGCAGAAUCGUCUGUGGUCAAUGGCGGCGCUGCGAGCGACGCACUGGCUGCACUUCGGACACUCUACCUUUUCGCUGCUGCAAUUGACGAGGUGCUCCAUAAGCGUGGACAGAGUACCGGGGAAGUCGCAAUCGUCACUGUUGGGGCAGAGAACGCUGUACUCAUCCAAGUCGGCCAACUUGAAGUCCUGCGGCACGA